rnacentral:lncRNA from 1 species
AAUGGGUUUGGAUGGCUGGUAAUAAUGGAUUUACUUCUCUUGGAUUCCUUUCUGUGCAUCUCUCAGGAAAAAAUCUGAUAGAAGCUUAAGUCUUCUUGACUCCCUCAAGAAUGGGGGAAAAACAAUGCACAUAUUGAUUGUAAUUCUACUUCCACGGUGGUUUAUAGUAUCUUAGGAUGGUAACGAACUUUGGAAAUGAUUCAGUCCUAACACGGAAGCUAAGGGUGGUGGGCGCCUGGAGUCCCAGCUACUCAGGAGGCUGAGGCAG